ensembl:lncRNA
GGAUGGUAGGGGCAAGUACUGCCUUUUCCGCCUCUGAUUCGACUCAGAGGUUAGGGUUAGGUCAUGGAUGGGGUUAGGGUUAGGGUCAGUGGACUAUGAAAUGUAGGGCCAUCGACUGCUUGUGGUUUACCGCAUUACCACAACACUUAUUGUGGUACCACACCGCCCUCUGCUGGCGCGUCGGAUGCAUGGCAAGCUCGUUAAACAACAUCCGACCAAUCAGCAGGCAGAUCCCGUGCCAUAUGACCCUCCUGCACAUGAUGAGGACCACCAGCAACACCAUCAGAGCCCCUGAGAACAUGAGCUCGUUACCAGCAGUGUUCUUCUGUAGUGACUGACUUGGUGAAGGCCACCCUGGAAGUGUCACUGCGACGGGUUUACCCGAGCUCUGCAGGAAACCAGGGCAGCAAAUUAAACAGAGUACAUUUACAUCAGGUUCAAAUGGGAACAUUAGGGGGUCAUAGCACUUCACCUUCAGAGACACAAUAUGAGUCUAGAUGAGUCUAGUCUAACAUACGUUACAUAAAAACAAUUGCGUAAUUCAUAUAUUUUUUCGAAAGAUUAUUAGAUUAUUGAUAAUCCUUCCGUUGUAAAAUAAAUAAUAAACAUUUAUUUUUCAGGAUUCAUAGUUUCAGACACACCCCGUGAUGUAUGGUAAACAUCCUUGAUUGAAAAAAUUAAAGGAACAUUAUAAUCCGAGGUUUAAUCAACCAAUGCAGUGUGGGCACUGUUUACAGAUGAAUUCACCGUAGCCAACUGUAGCCUUCUGCAGCAGGGCAUAGCUGUGGUGACUGCAUGAUUGUGUGAUUAAUACUUAUUGUGUGUGUGUGUGUGUGUGUGUGUGUGUGUGUGUGUGUGUGUGUGUGUGUG